rnacentral:rRNA from 1 species
GUCCUUUUGUAUAUAAUUUAAGGUCUAGCCUGCCCACUGAAAAUUUAAAUGGCCGUGGUAUUUUGACCGUGCUAAGGUAGCAUAAUCAUUAGUUUUUUAAUUAAAAACUGGAAUGAAAGGUUGGAUAAAAAAAUGACUGUCUCUAUUAAAUUAUUAGAAUUUUAUUUUUAAGUUAAAAAGCUUAAUUGAAUUUAAAAGACGAGAAGACCCUAUAGAGUUUAAUUAUUAAAUAAAAAUUAUAUUUUAGUAUUUAUUUAUAUAUUUUAUUUAAUAAUUUAAUUGGGGUGAUUGAAAAAUUUAAUAAACUUUUUUUUAUUUUUAAACAUAAAUUUAUGAAUAAAUGAUCCAAUAUUUUUGAUUAUAAGAUAAAAUUACCUUAGGGAUAACAGCGUAAUUUUUUUAUAAAGUUCAUAUUAAAAAAAAAGAUUGCGACCUCGAUGUUGGAUUAAAAUUAAUUUUUGGUGUAGAAGCUAUAAUAUUAGGUCUGUUCGACCUUUAAAAUUUUAC